rnacentral:rRNA from 1 species
GAUGAACGCUGGCGGCGUGCCUAAUACAUGCAAGUCGAGCGAACAGACGAGGAGCUUGCUCCGCUUACGUUAGCGGCGGACGGGUGAGUACCACGUGGAUACCCUGCCUAUAAGACUGAGAUAACUUCGGGAAACCGGAGCUAAUACAGGAUCAUAUAUUGAACCGGAUGGUUCAAUAGUGCACGCGCGUUUUGAUGUGCCUAAUUCAUGGAUCCGCGCUGCAUUAGCUAGUUGGUAAGGUAACGGCUUACCAAGGCUACGAUGCGUAGCCGAACUGAGAGGGUGAUCGGCCACACUGGAACUGAGACACGGUCCAGACUCCUACGGGAGGCAGCAGUAGGGAAUCUUCGACAAUGGGCGAAAGCCUGACGGAGCAACGCCGCGUGAGUGAUGAAGGUCUUCGGAUCGUAAAACUCUGUUAGUAGGGAGGAACAAAAGUAAAUGUAAAUAUUCACGUCUUGACGGUACCUAAUCAGAAAGCCACGGCUAACUACGUG